AAAUGAGAGAGGUCCAAGUCCAAGAUUUUUUCUUUUAUUUAUUUAUUUAUUUAUUUAUUUCCUUUUACGUUUUUUUUCUUUUCGUUUUCCAUUUUUUUUUUUUUUCGUUUUUUUUUUCAAAACACGUGGGCUUCGCCUAGCGAGCAUGACAGCUCAUGAACAACCCUCGCUCCUUCAAGAUUAACGUUUUGACUGACGAAUAGACCCCUGUUGGAAGUAACUCAAGUCUUUCCCUU
rnacentral:lncRNA from 1 species